GUCAAACAGACAAGAAAGAAUUAAAAGCUGUGGGGGGGUUUUUAGACUAUAUUUAUAGACAUGUUGCAAGUCACCAUCCGUGUGUACAAACAGAGUGGGGAACGAAAGAAAAAAAGAAUUUUGGGGUGGACAAUUUAUUGGAAGAGUUUCUUCUUUGUGGACGAGCGAUUGUCCUUUUUUUUUUGUUUUGAGACCAAGUGAGACACCAGAACGAGUUGUCUCUGUUGUGAGUAGGUGUGAAACACGACAUCACAUGUCAGGUCCGAGGCUUUUUUACGAGAGCAGCUAGCUAGACUCUAGAUGCGUGUUGUCGUGUGGAUGUUGGCAUCGUUAGAAAACGCACGGGAUAUAGAAGGAGGGGCGGGAGGAACUGAAACACUUUUGCGUAAUGAAGUCGGACGUAAAUCACACGGGGGGGACCCAGCAGGCAGGGAUCCGAGUUAGUCGCCCGCUGCUGAGUCAACAUUCCCGGUAGUGGCAACAAUCUAUAUACAUGCCACACACACACGUACUCAUAUGGGGUUGAGUGUGUGGGGUGGGCGUCUAGCUGUUGUGUUCCAAACGGGAGAGUUGAUGGUCUCGGCACCAAAACCAAAAAAGAGUUUCACUCAAUUUGAUGGACAUUUUCUUUUCAAAGCUUUUGCGAAGAAUUUUUGAUUUCUAAAAUAAAAUUCGAACCGUUUUCUUCUCUGCUCUGCUCUUCUUUACUUAUUUCAGAUUCCCUGGAUUCCCGACAUUUUCGAAAUCGUGCAAACUGGAUGUCUUCCAAAAUUGUUACGGGACUCGAGAGGGGGAUGUUCCGCCUUUGCCACAUAAAACCCGCGUCAUCGUUUCAAGUUAUUUUUCUUUUUUAAAAAAACAACAAAAACUUUUUCUGAACUUUUUGUUUUAUUUAAAAUAAAAUUUCUUUUGUUGGUUUGUUCCAGGAGCGAGUUGGCUUUUGGAACGACGUUGGCGUCCGUGAUUUUGUUCUACUGCCCGGCUAUUAAGUCUGGCGGUGACGUCACAGCCGGAAGUCGGGAGAGAAAAAGAUAAAAAGAAAAAGGUGCUGAGAGACCAGGAAGUUGGACGGAAGGAAAAUGUGGGCACGAAAUGAAAUCAACAAGUUAACGAGCCGACAAAGCGACGUGACGCAUCCUUGUCCUUGUGCCGAGUUGAAUAUUAAACCAGAAAAACCCUUUUAGUAGUGCUGGGGCCCCUUAAUGGCACACACUACUAGUCUAGUAGUCAUCUGGUGUAGUAGUAAGUAAAUCACCUCUGCUGUAGUAGUAGCAGUAGUAGUAGUAGUAGCGGCAGAAGAAGAC